AUUAAUUAGACUGCCCUCUACAGUUGUAGUUAGUUCAGGCUUUUUCUACUUUUAAGUUAUGACAUAAACUGUGUUACUGCCUUGAGACUUUAAAUUAGCCUCUAAGUAUUUAGAAAAGCCAGUGCAUGUUUCAAAAGUUUCUGAAAGCUGUCAUUUUAAAAUUCUGUUUACCUCCUCCCAAAAUCCCUUGCCAAAGCCUGUUAUUGGCUGUCUAAAGC
rnacentral:lncRNA from 1 species